AUUGAACGCUGGCGGUAGGCCUAACACAUGCAAGUCGAACGAUUGGCGGACGGGUGAGGCAUACAUCGGAAUCUCCUCUGUCGUGGGGGAUAACGUAGGGAAACUUACGCUAAUACCGCAUACGAUUGAAUGAGCCGAUGUCGGAUUGGCUAGUUGGCGUGGUAAAGGCCCACCAAGGCGACGAUCCGUAGCUGUUCUGAGAGGAUGAUCAGCAACACUGGAACUGAGACACGGUCCAGACUCCUACGGGAGGCAGCAGUGGGGAAUAUUGGACAAUGGGCGCAAGCCUGAUCCAGACAGACCGCGUGGGUGAAGAAGGCCUUCGGGUUGUAAAGCCCUUUUGUUGGGAAAGCGGUACCCAAAGAAUAAGCAACGGCUAACUUCGUGCCAGCAGCCGCGGUAAUUC
rnacentral:rRNA from 1 species